rnacentral:sRNA from 1 species
GCUGCGGAGGUGGCGUCCGGGCUGGGAUAGCGCGAGUGUCCGCGGCCGAGCAGCAGAGAUUUUUGCUGUGAGAAUUAAUUCUCAGUAACAGUUCAAUAUGGGGGACAUUCUGGCUCAUGAAUCUGAAUUACUUGGACUAGUGAAAGAGUAUUUAGAUUUUGCUGAAUUUGAAGACACCUUGAAAACAUUUUCAAAAGAAUGCAAAAUAAAAGGAAAACCAUUGUGUAAAACAGUAGGCGGAUCUUUCAGAGACUCCAAAUCAUUGACAAUUCAGAAGGAUCUUGUCGCUGCAUUUGACAACGGAGACCAGAAGGUGUUCUUCGAUCUGUGGGAGGAGCACGUUUCAAGUUCCGUCCGAGAUGGGGACUCCUUUGCCCGGAAGCUGGAAUUCUAUCUCCACAUCCAUUUUGCCAUCUAUCUUUUGAAGUACUCUGUGGGGAGACCGGUGGGUUUACCUGGUGAUGCGGGUGGGUCUGAGCGGUGUGUUAAGGAACAGUGUUUGCUGUCAUUGUCCACAUGGGCAUGGAUUUCAUAUGUGGCUGUGCUGUCAUAAUGCUUACAAGGUACAGGCAUCCUCUGUCCUGGUGAGUGAUUUUCUACUGUAUUCCCAGCAGUUUAUAUUCUAAUUUCUAUGGAGAUUUAAUAAUUUCUGUAAUCAAUGCUAUAUUCCUAAAUACCUCAAGUUUUUGAAACCUCAUCAAAAUAAAGUUUAUUUGGCAACUUA